ensembl:lncRNA
AUUGAAGCAGAAAAAAUAGUUUUGCAACAUGUGGGACUGAAGUUCUUACUCUGCUAUUUGCUAGGAAUUUAUUUGCUAAAAAGAAAUUCAAUGCAGGCUUUUCUGAUAGCAAACAAAAAUAUAUGUCUCGCUUAAGUUUCCCCAGAUGAAUUGUAAAAUAUAACUUAAUAUGCACAUGCAUCUGUUCUGUGGAAACUACAGACAGGAGGAAAAUUAUAUACCUGACCUGCUCUAGGAUUACAAGAGCCCCCAUUCCUGUUACACGACAGAGGUCAGAAUUUACUGGCAUCAGCGGCAGCUGCUACAGAGAGCAAAGCACUGAGCUCUGGUUGCCUUUUGAGAAAAGGACUUCUCCUGCUGGCUUUUUUUUUUAUCUGAAGAGGGCAUCACUUCCUUCAGGAUGUCAGGCAGGGUUUGAUGGCAGCGGGGCCGUUUCCGCACCGCACUGCCCGGGUGGUGAUGAUGUGUGAAAUAGUGUCCUCUGCUGCACGAACCGACACAGUGCGCCUGCCCUGAGUUGCCCCGCAGGAAGGCAGACAGGAGUGAGAAAGCUCCAGCCCUUGAACAACGGUAAAUCCUGAUCUAAAGGUAACAUUUUCCGUGCUAAUGGGAAUAUGAUCUAUCUUAAUAACUAAAUCGGCUGACAAAAAUAGAUGCCUUGAAUGGAGGCUUGGUCCACUGCAGAAGCCUGUGAUAGCUAUUGAUACUGUUGCUGAGCUUUGUCUCUUUCAAAAGGAUAAAGGGGACAGUUACAUUCUGUUCACAGUGUUCUUAAGUUGAAACUAAAGGCAUUUCAUGCUUUAAAACACCGGAGCAGUGUGAAGAAGCUCAGUUCUGACUUCAGGUGCUGGACAUCUGGGGAGGCUGGUAGCCCUGAUUUUAUGGUGACUAGCUCAGCUUAGGUUCACUGAACCUACUAUGGUUACACAAGCCAUGACAACAGAAAACAAGAGCCAUUACAGUGAAUUUAGGUGUUAAUGAAAGCAGUGUUUUAAAUAGUGUUGGCUACUAUCUGUGCAGUACAAUAUACGGUAUAGCACUUUAUAACCUAACUCAGCCAUGGAGCAUUUCUCCUGCCCCAUAUCAUUGUUUCCUUCCACAGACCUGUGCAGAGUACAUCACAUGAUGGUUCACUGAUGCACAGUGAAACAUGAGUUACUUUUCAAACUUUACUCAAAAUGAAAUGUGGCAUUUAUUUGGCUUUUGUACCUCUCAGAGUACUAUAGGAACAGUGAGCAGGCAUUCUUAAUCCCUUUUAUGCAAACUGGGACAGAGAGAAGUAUUAGAAAAGUGUCCUCUUUGUCAAAGUUACUCCAGCUUUCCUAUUUCUAUUGCUAUCCUGGAUAAAUUUGUAACUUUGGAAAGAUAGGUUUGAGUGGAUGAAAUAAAUUCUUG